rnacentral:rRNA from 1 species
UACGUAGGGGGCAAGCGUUGUCCGGAAUCAUUGGGCGUAAAGCGCGUGUAGGCGGUCCGGUAAGUCGGCUGUGAAAGUCCAGGGCUCAACCCUGGAAAGCGGGUGGAUACUGCCGGGCUAGAAUCCGGAAGAGGCGAGUGGAAUUCCUGGUGUAGCGGUGGAAUGCGCAGAUAUCAGGAGGAACACCAAUAGCGAAGGCAGCUCGCUGGGACGGUAUUGACGCUAAGGCGCGAAAGCGUGGGGAGCAAACAGG